CCUACGGGAGGCAGCAGUGAGGAAUAUUGGUCAAUGGGAGAGAUCCUGAACCAGCCAAGCCGCGUGAGGGAAGACGGCCCUAUGGGUUGUAAACCUCUUUUGUCGGAGAACAAAACCCGGGACGUGUCCCGGACUGCGUGUAUCCGAAGAAAAAGCAUCGGCUAACUCCGUGCCAGCAGCCGCGGUAAUCCGGAGGAUGCGAGCGUUAUCCGGAUUUAUUGGGUUUAAAGGGUGCGUAGGCGGUCCGUUAAGGCAGCGGUAAAAGUGCGGGGCUCAACCCCGUCGAGCCGUUGAAACUGGCAGACUUGAGUUGGCGAGAAGUACGCGGAAUGCGCGGUGUAGCGGUGAAAUGCAUAGAUAUCGCGCAGAACUCCGAUUGCGAAGGCAGCGUACCGGAGCCAGACUGACGCUGAGGCACGAAAGCGUGGGGAUCGAACAGGAUUAGAUACCCUAGUAGUC
rnacentral:rRNA from 1 species